rnacentral:lncRNA from 1 species
UACAUAUCUUAUUUUCCUUGCAUAUAUUUCCUUUAUUAGUUUUAGUAGUUUUAGUUGUAUUUCAAUUAGAAUUCUUUUUUUUUCCACAGCAACAAUGGAUCCUUAACCCACUGAGCGAGACCGGGGAUCAAACCUGCAUCCUCCUGUGAUGGACUGUAACUCAGGUAGUUCGUGUAGGAGCAUGGACUCCAAUACAUUCUUUGAUACGACUUUUUUUUUUUNNNNNNNNNNNNNNNNNNNNNNNNNNNNNNNNNNNNNNNNNNNNNNNNNNNNNNNNNNNNNNNNNNNNNNNNNNNNNNNNNNNNNNNNNNNNNNNNNNNNNNNNNGGCCUACACAAGAGCCACAGCAACACGGGAUCCGAGCCGCGUCUGCAACCUACACCACAGCUCACGGCAAUGCCAGAUCGUUAACCCAUUGAGCAAGGGCAGGGACCGAACCCUCAACCUCAUGAUUCCUAGUCGGAUUCGUUAACCACUGCGCCAUGGCGGAAACUCCUGAUGUGACUAUUGAUUAACAUUUAUGGCUUAAGGACUGCAGAGAGUAACACCCCCCACAGGUCCUGUUUUAUUAUAGGAAAUGUGCUUUCCCCCAGAGAGACUAUCAUCUCUAACCCACUCCUCAACUGAUAGAAAAGGAACGAGUGGAAUGGUGACCUCAUCCAAGGGAAGAAAAAGACAAAGAAGUCGCAGUUCCCGUCAUGGCACAGCAGAAAUGAAUCUGACUGGGAACCAUGAGGUUGCGGGUUCGAUCCCUGGCCUUGCUCAGUGGGUUAAGGAUCUGGCAUUGCCAUGAGCUGUGGUGAAGGUUGGAGACAUGGCUUGGAUCCCAAGUUGCUGUGGUGGUGGUGUAGGCCAGCAACUGCAGCUCUAAUUAGACACCUAGCUUGGGGACCUCCAUAUGCUGCAGGUGCAGCCCUAAAAAUACAAAAAAAAAAAAGAGAAAAAUCUAGGUAAUACGUUUCUUAUAGUACAAUUUUUCAAUAAAAAAUUUUAAAAAGAAGAUAUGUUUACUAACACACUCAAAUUUAUCUUUCGGUUCCUCCGUGAUGGGAAGACAAAAGUAGAUAAACCUAUGUUCAGGAAUUAAUGCUCAGUAUUUUUUCUUAUUUGGAAAUAAUCUAGAUAUCAAUAUAUUUUCAUCAUUAAUUUAACUCAGCAAAAUUCUGAAGUGUCAAGGUAUCAGAAGAUUUCCAAAACUGUUUAAGUAUACGUAUCAUAAAGCAUAAUUAUUGCACCUAAAAUCUCUUAUCUUACAUCUAUAUAAUUGAUUUUUUCAAAACAAUUAUGAUAUGAAAAUUUUAUUAUACCAAGUUUUUUUUUCUUUUGCUGAUAGAUUUUGUACAAGAGAGAGCACGAGUUUGACAAGUAAACCUAGCUAGAAUAAAAGUUUUAUGUUUAAUGCUAAUAACUCUAAGACACGUCUAUUUUAAUUAAACCAAGAAAUUUAAAUUAGCUUUAAUAAAUAGUAUUUUCUUAGCUCCUGUAAAACUGAAAAGCAUUUGGGUUCAAUUUCAUUAAAUUUCUGAGAACUUCGGAAGUACUCAAUUUAUAAGUGCUUAACUCUAAACCAAUUAAAUAUAGCUCUUUAUAAAUUAGUUUUGGUAAUACCAUCCACAGGUAGAAAAAUACCACACAUCUAAAACAUACAUAUACAGAAGUUCCUGUGGAACAGUGCGUACAAAUCUGACUGGUAUCCAUAAAGAUGCAGGUUCAAUCCUAGGCCUGGCUCAGUAGGUUAAGGGUCCAGCGUUGUGGUGAGCUGUGAUAUAGUUUUCAGCUGCAGCUCCAAUUGGACCUCUAGCCUGGGAACUUCCACAUGCCACGGUUUUGGCCCUAAAAAUCAAAAUAAUAAUAAUAAUAAUAAAAUAACAUUAAAUAAAUAAAACACACAUAUACAGACACACACAAACAUAAGCAAAUGGAGACCAUAGAGCAUUUGUUGUUUUUCUUUUUUCUGUCUUCUUAGGGCCGUACUCACGGCAUAUAGAGGUUCCCAGGCUAGGGGUCGAAUCAGAGCUGUUGCUGCCAGCCUACACCACAGCCACAGCAAUGUGGGAUCUGAGUCGCGUCUGUGACCUACACCACAGCUCACAGCAACGCCGGAUCCUUAACCCACUGAGCAAAGCUGGGGAUCGAACCUGCAAACUCAUGGUUCCUAGUCAGAUUCAUUUCUGCUGCUUUUUAAAAAAAUUAGUCAUGAGGUGAGUAUAACAGUACAAAACUCAGUAGCAUUCCAAAAUUGAUGGCUUUAGCGCCCUAUGAGACAAGGAUAAGAAAUCACUGAUAUUUUUUUUCAGUAGUGCUAAUUAUAUCCGUUGGUAAAUACAUUAAAACACUAGUUUUCCAGUAAAAUAAAUAUUAACAUAUUUAUAGAAGAGAAUGAUCAGUAUCUAAGGUUUUAUUUAAUUUUUUAUUAAGAUACACUUUACAAAUAUUAAAUUCAAUUUUUUCAUGUGAGUUAUUUUCGUAUAUUUGUUCUUAAAGGUAUCUAAACUUUGGAAUAUAAAUGUUUCACAUGUAAGGAUUAUGUCCUUCAAAACUAAAAAAAUAUUCUGUAAUACCCUAUGGAUUAAAAAAAAAAAAGUCACAGAUGCUUUCUUUCCCUGAUUUUAUAGCCUUUUUUUUUUUUGGUAUUUUUAGGGCCACACCCAUGGCAUCUGGAAUUUCCCAGGCUAGGGGUCAAAUUGGAGCUGCAGCUGCCUGCCUACACCACAGCCACAGCAACGCAGGAUCUAAGCAGAAUCUAUGACCUACACCACAGCUCAUGGCAACGCUGGAUCCUUAACCCACUGGGAGGGGCCAGGGAUUGAACCCAAGUCCUCAUGGAUACUAGUCAGGUUCUUAACCCACUGAGCCACAAUGGGAACUCUUUUACUUAUUUUAUUAUAUUUUAUUUUUUUUUUUGGUCUUUGGUCUUUUUAGGGCUGUACCCACAGCAUUUGGAGAUUCCCAGGCUAGGGGUCUCAUCAGAGCUGUUGCUGCCGGCCUACACCAUAGCCUGUAGCAAAGCCAACGCUGGGGGUAGUUUCUGACUCUGUUCCCACCCUUCUUCAGAGGAUUGGAAGUGAGGACCAAGAAUUUCCUGGGGCAAGGCUGAAUUUAACACUGGUUUUCUUAUUUUUUAUUUUGAUUUUUGUCUUUUUGCCAUUUCUUGGGCCGCUCCCGUGGCAUAUGGAGGUUCCCAGGCUAGGGGUCGAAUCGGAGCUGUAGCCACCGGCCUAUACCACAGCCACCACAACGCGGGGUCCGAGCCGCAUCUGCAACCUACACCACAGCUCACAGCAACGCCGGAUCCUUAACCUACUGAGCAAGGCCAGGGAUCGAACCUGCAACCUCAUGGUUCCAAGUCGGAUUCGUUAACCACUGCGCCACGACGGAAACUCCCUAGUUUACCUUGCUUUUAGGGAACACUUUUGGCUUCAUACUCUUCCCAUUCUCUCACUCACUUCUUCUAUUUCAUAUCUGAGCCCUGGAAACCAAACAUCACAACUAAGAAGAGCUGAAAUACAAAUCCCCCAGCUCCUGUUCUUCUGAGGUUGGUUUCUAGCAACGUUGACCCCCGGCUCAUGCUUUGGGGGUCAAAGAAAGAUAUAGUCACCAUGUGAAUGAAAGCCCUUCAGGUAUGGGGAGACCCUCCUAGGAUUCAGAGUUUUGUAAAGAUCUGGA